GACGAACGCUGGCGGCGUGCCUAAUACAUGCAAGUAGAACGCUGAAGGAGGAGCUUGCUUCUCUGGAUGAGUUGCGAACGGGUGAGUAACGCGUAGGUAACCUGCCUGGUAGCGGGGGAUAACUAUUGGAAACGAUAGCUAAUACCGCAUAAUAGUAGAUGUUGCAUGACAUUUGCUUAAAAGGUGCAAUUGCAUCACUACCAGAUGGACCUGCGUUGUAUUAGCUAGUUGGUGGGGUAACGGCUCACCAAGGCGACGAUACAUAGCCGACCUGAGAGGGUGAUCGGCCACACUGGGACUGAGACACGGCCCAGACUCCUACGGGAGGAAGCAGUAGGGAAUCUUAGGCAAUGGACGGAAGUCUGACCGAGCAACGCCGCGGGAGUGAAGAAGGGUUUCGGAUCGUAAAGCUCUGUUGUAAGAGAAGAACGAGUGUGAGAGUGGAAAGUUCACACUGUGACGGUAGCUUACCAGAAAGGGACGGCUAACUACGUG
rnacentral:rRNA from 1 species